rnacentral:rRNA from 1 species
CACGUAGGGUGCGAGCGUUGCUCGGAAUUACUGGGCGUAAAGCGCGCGUAGGCGGACCUGCAAGUCGGGGGUGAAAGCCCGAGGCUCAACCUCGGAACUGCCUUCGAUACUGCGGGUCUCGAGUCCGGGAGAGGUGAGUGGAAUUCCUAGUGUAGAGGUGAAAUUCGUAGAUAUUAGGAAGAACACCAGUGGCGAAGGCGGCUCACUGGCCCGGUACUGACGCUGAGGCGCGAAAGCGUGGGGAGCAAACAGG